ACAGAUUUCAAUACACUUCCUUUGCUUCUUUCCUCAGCUAUGUUGUCUUAUGGCUUCAAGAUGGCCACUACAUGUCUACACAUCAAGAAAACCAAAGCUUUUAACCUGUCAGAUCUGGAAUUACAUGGUCAGCAGCAGUGAGGCUGUGCUGGUCACAGAGAAGCGGACUCACCAGGUCCACGUAUGAAAGUCACGUGCGGAGCGGGAGGGAGAGAGGACCACUGGCAAAUGCGCUCAACUAGCACCUUCAUUGCAAAACAAGGUUAGCCAAAGUUUGAGGUGGCAGAGCUACAAAAUGAAAACAAUUCAUAUUGCUGAGCCACUGUGAAGAAAACAGCUGCCAUGAAGAGAUCAGCGAAGAGCUAUAAGAACAGGAUAAAUACCCAUCUGCCUGGAAAAUUGCCUGGAGGCAGGGUGAUGGACUAGAUGUCUUACUUAGAUUCCUUCCAACCCUCGGAUUCAGAGCUCUCCACUGCUGCCAACAGAGUUAGUUCUGCUGGGAUACGUUCAGGACUGCAGACCCUGCUGCCUAUGAUUUUGCCAGUGCCUCCCCUUGGCCAAACCUACCGAAAUCCAGUUGGCACAGGAACCUGGGGAAUGUCAUUCCCAGAGAUAGGAAGCAGAGCAGAGGAAGGACCCUGUUGAAGUAGAAAGUCCUUUCUUCAAUCCUAUUGCUCGCACUUUCUUUCACAAGACUGAAUUUUUGGAGACAUUGAGAAAUGAGAUGAAUUAGGAAGUAUCCUAUGGUUUAACAGCUGAUAAAUGGGGUAUGCAUUUUCUUUGGUUUUUUUCUCUCAGGCAUUUUUGGUCCCACUUCAGUUUAAUUUAUUAGAUAUAGGUAUAUUUGUAAUUAAAGUUAUG